GGGCGUCACUCAACUGCAUACAAAAAAUCAUUUAAAUCAUACAAACUAUUUCACGCCCGAAUUCGUUUCAUUCAUCGAUCACAUACAGGUGUUCAUUCAAAAUCGAUAAGACGGAAGCCCCCGGUACCCAGCCAUAAAACAAACUCUCAAUAUCUAACUUCCACAGAGACCUCCAAAUUUCAAAAGACUAUGUUGUAUAGAGAUCUUGAAUAGCUUUUUCUUUACGGAGAAAACGAAACCAGAAAUCUGUCACUCUGCUGUCCUAGCCCCGAAAAAAACAGAGUCUGUAAUCUAACCGCCAACCCAAUUUUCACCAUUGGUUUAAGCUAAAGUACGACAUAUAAUAAACCACUGACCUUAUAGGCUUGAAUUUAAUGCAGAAGAUUAAUCGACAAUCACAUAUUCCCUAUUGGUGCUGUGAAAGCCAACCCAGCUACUGAUGUUAAAAAUGAAAAUAGGAGUGAAGAUUGUUAAAUGUCAAUGUCAGUUAUGCAUGUUUAAGAUGGAAAAAUAAGAAAACCUAUUCACUGUAAUUGAUAAAAUGAUUAGUGUAUUUAUAGGGUAUAAAUUAUCAGCACUAUAGAAAAAAGAUAUCAACUAUGUAAUAUUACACAAUAUAAAAAUGAAACACGAGAAAAAAUAAUACUCUGUUUAUUUUCUUACACUAAAUAAAUUAAAAUAACAUAAAA